GUUAUUUUUGGUGAUGGUCAGUCUGGUCAACCACAAGGGAGACACAGAGGAGGCAAAGGAAAAAACAAGUUUCUUAUACUCAAGGUCCUAGAGGGACAGAGUCACUGCAUGCUGACAGGGAGUGAUGUGGAAAAGAGCACCAAGGAAAAAGGCUCAGCCAAGCAAGUGGGGAGCAGAGAGCGGGCAAACACCAGAAGCCAUAGGUUAAGACAUGAGGACUUCUACUGAAACUUCUCUAAAUAUGGAACCAAGACUUCAUCUGAGUUUGAGAUUAAGAGAAGAAAUUAUCACAGCUCCAUGAGGAAGAAAAAAUAAUCUGUGACUUCUGUACCUUCUUCAUGACCACCGGGCAAGACUGACUCUCUGACCAGUGCACAGGAGACUCAUCAAUAUCUAUCUAAGCCCUUUCUCUCUAACAGCUGCCAGAGUUUGGUCUUCUAUCAUCUCAGGCCAAGGAAGCGCAGUGGUUACACUCAUCUCCACUCCGGUCACCUGCUUUCCAUUUUAUGCGAGCAGGUCCUGCCUUACAAAAUAAACGUAUCUGCUGAGAAAUGCCAAUGAGGGAGACAGAAGAGAUCUUCAAAGGGAAAGGCAGAUUUUGUAAGUGGUUGUUGAUGGACCAAAUUCCAUGUUAUAAAUCUUCUCAGGGUGCAGUAGUUGAUAUAACUCCAUUGAGAUGGACCCUGAAAACAAAUAUGCACAAAAGGAAUUUUACAGAUAAAUCCGUGUUCCAUGCCUAGAAUAAAGUAAUACCAUUAUAAUCAUUAUCUGCUUUCAAUAUCCAACCCUGCCAUUUAGUUUCAGCUUCAGGUCCACCGGAUCCUUCAAAUAUUUCUUCAUACAAUCUCCUUUUGUCCCUCAGGACCUGUUGGAAAGAAAGGCGUCCAAUGCUAAUAAGGAAAAGAGAAGAGCCUUCCUCUCCAUGCAGGUUUAAGUCUACUGAAAGUGGAAAUUACUCUUUUAUUUAUAAAUACUGAUAGGACUCUUUUGGUAGCAGGGAACAUGGACCCACUUAUG
rnacentral:lncRNA from 1 species